rnacentral:lncRNA from 1 species
CAAACACGGAGUGGGCCACCAGAGUGCUGCUUUCCAACCCUCCAAGACUCGCGUUUGAAACUUUGCUUUAAGAAAGAAGAAAGAAAAAUGCUUGUCGUGGGGCUUCAGGCCUCUAGUGUCUUGUCCAUUUUGUCCACGUGGGAUCCCGGAGGAAGAGCAGGAGAGUGCGGGAUGGUGUUUGGGGACACUGCAGAAAGAGCCGUGGGAAACGAAGAGCCAGGGGACACCGCCUUUGGCUUAGGGCUGCGUGGCCUGCAGCUGGAGUCCAGGUAGGUCACUGACAGGACCCACUCCCGGGGGGACCCAGGACGGUGGCCCACUGGGCUGCAGGCUGGUGUGGAAAGGGAGCAUCCACCAUUGGCUGUGCCUUCUCAGACCCUGCUGUCAUGAUGGAGGGUCAAAGAAGGAGACCCCUUGAAACGCCCUCUGCAGGGCGCCUCACCUCAGUUGAGCAAAUUUUCAGUCGUGCGUGCCACUUCCGGGUUCUGGUGUCCUGUGGUGUCCUGAGGUGUCCUGUGGGGUCCUGUGGGGUCCUCUGCAGGCUGCACACACCCUUCCUCCACCCACACACCCCAGACCUGCAGGCCCGUGUCCUGGAUGAUCCGUGAGCUGAUUUGUGAGUUCCGCAGGCCACGUUUAACAGACUCGUUUUUUUUUUUUACAAAUGUACCAAAUUUUUGGUGGAAAAUUUUCUAUGGGUUGUGGUCAUCCAACUUCCCAAGGUCAGUUGAACAGCCUGAAAUGGUGGCUUCUCAUUUUUUAAAUUUUCCAUCUUGACUUUGUGGGUAGAUGCCAUAUAAUCCAACAACGCCGAGUGCUGAGUGCUAAGCCCUGUCCCAGGCCUCCCUCCCAGGCUGUCACACUCCCCAGAGGGUCCCCCUGCACAGGUGCAGAUACACACUCCAGGCAUUCAGUCCCCCUCUGUGCAGGGCAGGAUGCUCACCUCCGUGCCCCUGCCAGGGGGGAGUGGCUCUGGGGCGCACUUCCGCCCACCAGGCUGCCACCGCUCUUUACACCGUCCCAAGAAACAGUUAGGAGGAAAGGAUUUGGAAACCUGGUGAAGGAAGCCACACACACCCCGGAGAAGAAGGUAGAGGGUGGCCCUAGGCUUCAUUUGGCAAGUCUUUAAAAAUGGAAUACUUAUGUAUUAAAAGGGAAAGGAGGGGCCAGGGCUAUAGCUCAGUUGGUAGAGGGCUUGCCUUGCAUGCACAAGGCCCUGGGCUCAAUCCCCAGGCCUACAAAAAGUGUCGGGGGAGGGGGGUAUUGGGAAUGGAGCCACCAUUUGACCCAGCUGUCCCUCUCCUCGGUCUAUACCCAAAGGACUUAAAAACAGCAUUCUACAGGGACACAGCCACAUCAAUGUUUACAGCAGCACAAUUCACAGUAGCUAAACUGCGGAGCCAACCUAGAUGCCCUUCAAUAGAUAAAUGGAUCAAAAAAAUGUGGCAUAUACACACAAUGGAAUAUUACUCAGCAAUAAAAGAGAGUAAAAUCAUGGCAUUUGCAGGUAAAUGGAUAGUUAGAGAAGAUAAUGCUAAGUGAAGUUGGCCAAUCCCAAAAACCAAAUGCUGAAUGUUUUCUCUGACGUAAGGAGGCUGAUUCAUAGUGGGGUAGGGAGGGGGAGCAAUGGGAGGAAUUGACGAACCCUAGAUAGGGCAGAGGGGUGGGAGGGGAAGGGACGGGACAUGGGGUAAUUAAUGAUGGUGGCAUGUGAUGAUCUUUACUAUCCAAAGUACAGGUAUGAAGACACGAAUUGGCAUGAAUAUACUAUGUGUACAACCAGAAAUAUGAAAAAUUGUGUUGUAUAUGUGUAACAAGAAUUGUGAUGCUUUCCGUUGUCAUAUAUACAUUUUAAAAAGUCAAAAAAUUGGGGGGCUGGAAAAUUCUCGAAUAAUAGCAAUUCAAAAUUGGAAGGACCUUGGGAUUAUAUUAAGCCAUCUCUGAGAGUGAUUGUGACCUUCGAGAGGAGACCCAUGGUAAUGAUGAAAUAUCUCCCCACUGAUUUCUUUUUUCUUUAGAAAGUAAGAUAGAAGGUGACCCGAGGGGAAGAGGAGAGGAAUAGAGAGACGGAGAGAGAAAGAGGAGAGAGAGGGUGAGAAAGAGCAAGUCCAGGCUUGGCCAGGGUGGAGGGGCUCCUGCUGAUGCCUCCACGUGCAGGUGACCGUGUCCACCAGACCCUGAGGAGAGGACCUUCGAACCCGCAGCGGCGAGUCCACCCCCUCGCGAUCCUGGAGAUGGAAACCCCGAUGUCUGCUCACCACCGCACAUAAAGGGGACUGCUGUGGCCCCAGGAUGGGACUUUUUAGAGCAGUCAGCGUGUGGAAGGGGGUUUGUGCACCUAGAGCUUCAGCUCAAAUGGGGACCCAGGUCAGAGCACUCGGCCCCAAACACGCCGAUGUGCAGACGCGGCUUCCCUGGGGUCCGGGUAGGGGUCCAUCCCUGUGCUGGCUCGGAGCAUUCAUCCUUCCAUUUCAGCAUAUGUGACCCCCAAAUGGAAGCUCCCCUCUGCUGAGAGGAUGGUCACUAAUUUGAGAGACAACCCACGGGUAGGCGUUCAUGGUCACUAACUAAAAUACUCAGCGGAAAAUGAUGGGCAGUGACUGACACAAUAUUCACAGACGGCUUCUGCUGUCCUCUGCCGAUAAGGACCAGGGACCCUGAGAGGGACCUAUGAUUGACUGGUCUCAACAUGAAGGAAAACUUCUACUAAGGAGAGAGAGGAGGGGGGCCAGUUCUCGGGAGGAUGUACAAACAGCGAGUCUCCUGGUGGCACGUGUGGGCCUGUGGAUCCCUCCGGGGGACUCUUGUUGCCUAUCUUGGUGAAGCUGUUUUUGUCCUGGUUGCAGUGUGGCAUCCCUGGACAUUUCUGUCCUGGGGCUUGACAUGGAGACAGCCCCUCUCAGAAGUGGGAUCAUGCAGUGUUUGUUCUGUGCUCGGGUGAACCUUGGUGGCUGGCAUUGGGGCCACAUGUUAUUGGCAACAUGUCUCUAAUAAGGCUGAGCUCUGGAUUUCACAUCAGUGAGUCUAGGGCACCCCAGAGCACUGCUGUCCUUUGCAACAUGUGACCCGAAUGUAAGGCAAGUGAACUACCCUGUUUUGGGGGUGUCGAAUGCUCCGAGUCAAGUAAGUCCCACCAGCAGGUCUCUUAAUAUGGUUGGAGACCACUUUUUAAUUCUGUCUCUCUUUCUUAGGAAAAUCAAUGGGAGACUAGUUCCUCUUCGCCUACCCGUGGGUUGUCUCUCAAAUUCCACAAUCACUUUCUAAGAUUGCUUAAGACAACAUUGAUUUGGGUUGUUCAAUCGGCAACAGGGAGUUCUACGACUGGGAAGCGUCGAAUAUUUUCAACCUCAUAGUUCAUGUUAUAUUAGUCGAAAACAUAUUUUUUAAGAUGUGUAUUAUUAAUGACACAAUAAAAUCUCAUUAGCGGAUGGGGUU